rnacentral:rRNA from 1 species
UACGUAGGGUGCAGGCGUUAAUCGGAAUUACUGGGCGUAAAGCGUGCGCAGGCGGCUCCUUAAGUCAGAUGUGAAAAUCCCCCGGGCUUAACCUGGGAACUGCGUUUGAAACUGGGGAGCUUGAGUGUGGAAGAGGGGGGUGGAAUUCCAGGUGUAGCAGUGAAAUGCGUAGAGAUCUGGAGGAACACCGAUGGCGAAGGCAGCCCCCUGGGCUAACACUGACGCUCAUGCACCGAAAGCGUGGGGAGCAAACAGG